AGUUGCAGGGGAGUGGACAGGGUUGGGAGAGAUAGCGCAAGUGAGCUGAACUUGUGCUGUUGGAGCGCCCUAUCCUCAAUAUAAUACUUAAGAAAUUAUUUUCUUUGACGAAAACAGCUCUAGCCUCGUGUGCUUUAAUUAACACCAACUAAGGACAGUCAGAUUUUUCUCUUCUCCCAGUAACAAACGGGUUUAUUGGGAAGUUGAGGUACAUCCCGGACUUCUUCAGAUCCUGUGAUUUCUGAGAGCAGGUAAGCCACUGACUAACGCACAUUGCGCCUGUUUUCCACUCCACUGUGCGUGUGACAGCGGCUAACCAGCUUUUGGAUGAGUGGCUGUCCUCAGCGUCCCACCGGAGCGUCCCGAGGCGGACACGGCCCCCAGAGGGACUCUUCUGGGCCCCGUCCCAUCCUUCGUUUUUUUGUUCCUUUAGCUCAGAUGGUAAAGAGGUUGUGGGUUCAAAUCCCAUGCAACUUAUGCCAAGAAAUUAAGCGUUAAAGUGUCACAGACCUCUCCGCUUCGCUCAUUCGAGGUUUUAUUCGUAAUAAUAAUAAUAACGCUGUUUUUGCACGUAAGCAGCAGCUCUGAACUUUUGAACUUGUACAGUUAUGCAAAUCCAGAAACGGUGACUGUGUAAACAGCUCUGACUCAUACUGACGCGUCACAUGAAACCCCCUCGGCCUGUUAGCUGAGCUUUAAUUGAUCAUGGUAGUAAUUCAACGUUCGUUCUGAUCUGAUCACAGGUUUCAUAGAUAUAUAUACAGUAAAAGUGUUUUAGUGGAUGUUUUACUUUUUCAGUGUGUUGGUGAUUUCAUGAUGUGGCACACAAUUGUAUUAUAUUGGAUAAUAGUAUGAAAAUAUUUAUUGAAUAAAAUAUCAAAUAAA